GUCCCCAUAGCUCAAGUGGAUAGAGCGUUCGUUUCCUAAACGAAUGAUCCGUGUUCGAGUCACGGUGGGGGCACCA
rnacentral:tRNA from 1 species